AUUGAACGCUGGCGGCAUGCUUUACACAUGCAAGUCGAACGGUAACAGGCCGCAAGGUGCUGACGAGUGGCGAACGGGUGAGUAAUGCAUCGGAACGUGCCCAGUCGUGGGGGAUAACUACUCGAAAGAGUAGCUAAUACCGCAUACGAUCUAUGGAUGAAAGCGGGGGACCGUAAGGCCUCGCGCGAUUGGAGCGGCCGAUGUCAGAUUAGGUAGUUGGUGGGGUAAAGGCUCACCAAGCCAACGAUCUGUAGCUGGUCUGAGAGGACGACCAGCCACACUGGGACUGAGACACGGCCCAGACUCCUACGGGAGGCAGCAGUGGGGAAUUUUGGACAAUGGGCGCAAGCCUGAUCCAGCAAUGCCGCGUGCAGGAAGAAGGCCUUCGGGUUGUAAACUGCUUUCGUACGGAACGAAACGGCUCUGGUUAAUACCCGGGGCUAAUGACGGUACCGUAAGAAUAAGCACCGGCUAACUACGUG
rnacentral:rRNA from 1 species